rnacentral:tRNA from 1 species
GCUCCAGUAGUCCAAUGGUAAAGCGCUUGUCGCGGAGGAAGAGGGUAUUGGGUUCGAUCCCCAACAGGGUCG